rnacentral:lncRNA from 1 species
GCCCAGAGAAGCUGUGGAUGCCCCAUCCCUGAAGGUGCUCAAGGCCAGGCUGGAUGGGGCUUUGGGCAGCCUGGGCUGGUGGGAGGUGUCCCUUCCUAUGGCAGGGGGGUUGGAACUGUGUGGGCUUUAAGGUCCCUUCCAACCCAAACCAAUCUAUGAUUGUAACUGAACUAAUAAUAACACUUUCAUUUGCCAAGUCUUUUAAUUCUUGGUUUUAUAUUUAUGGAAUGUUUCUCUAUGUGACAGGGAAGGCUUGUCUGGACCCUGCUCGUAAAGACAGGCCAAUAAAACUUCGCUGCAACAAUUGGUGGAGAAUGCAGGCAAGAAAGACUGUGACUUGUGGUGCAACAGCCCUGCAGAACACGAACGGGAUCAGAGAGCACUCAGCACUCGAUGCAACCCACUCAUCUAGGGGAAUUUAGGCCAGCACACAGCAGGCUUCCUUACUUCUUGCGCAGGAGGAGCCUAUAAAAUCCACAGACCAUAGGAUGAAAACCUGCAGCUUAAGCACACACAUCCUUUGUUAUGAAUAGCCAAGUCUUUCUGCAUCUUAAUAUAACCACUACAUAGUUUCAAAACCAUGCUCUGACUUUGUGGAUACCUGCAAUGUAUUUAGAAUAGGCUUUUGUUUAUAUGAGUUUUAAUGGUUUGUUAUCCGGCAUGUUUCCCAUUUUGUCUCCAGCUUUCUGUGUCAAGUUAGGUAACUUAUGAGCAGAUUGUCAGAAAUUUUGCCCCUACGGAGAUGAACUUUUCUGAAUAUCUGGUAACUCAUUUUAGUACUUCUGAUGAAACUUCAGCUUUCCUGAAAAAGCGAGUUUUAAACCUCUGGUCUCUAUUUCCAAUGAUAUUUAGGGUUGUGUUUCAUUGAGUCAGUUUCCUUUUUGUGAAACAUGAUUAGUGGCAUUUUCAUUUUUAACACACACACAUAUUAUAUAUACUGCGCUUGAUAAAUGCAUGAACACUGAAUGGAAAUUGAUAGCAUUUAAAUACCUAGCUGCAAGAAACAGUAGAAAAUCUCUCUUGGCUGUGGAUGCAUAGAGUAGUUUUUCCACAGUUUUGCACUGGCACAUCUACACUGAGGCCAACACAAUUGCUCCAGUGUAAUUAGAAAUUACUUUGGCCCAGGGUUGGUGUGCUAUAAUUAUAUGUUUGCUUCUAGUAGUAGAUAAACUGUAAUAGUUGUGAUCCAAAUGCAAAGGAAGGCAUGACUGAUGCCUCAAAAGUGUGCAGUCUAGGCUUAUGCUUUCGGCAGUCUUUUACCUUACAAACAGCAGAGAGACUUGGUGGAAGAUAACAGUUGGCUAUCCUUGUGUUGGUCUGCUGGAAGCCACUGCCUCAGUGGAGAUUUGCAAGUGCUGUCUACCCUGUGUCAGUAACAAUGAUACAGAUUUGCUAAAUCAUUUGGAUAAUAAUUUGGCGUGGCAGAUUUUCAACACCCGGCUGAUACACACUAAUUAAAACAGCUCCGUCUGUCUAUCUUGUUCUGCUGUGACCUCCAACACGGGAGUUACUGAGUACCUGAGGGCAAGUCAGACUUUCUUUGGCACUGUGGGUUCUGGAAGAGGAUAGCGGUUCGCUGCGUUACCUGCUACUUGUUUGACUUUCCUUAUAAUAUCUAUAGAGAGUGAACUGAAGAGUGUAAGCAGAUAAACUGAAGAUAAAUCAGACUAAGUGAUAUUUAUCUGCAGUAUCAGCUAUUUGAAGUGUACCCAUUUCUCCCAUGCUCUGAGCACUGCUGCAUUUAUUACUGCUGCCAGUUCAGUAGUAGAAAACAAUUGGUAGAAAAUCUGUGUGUUAAAUAGCCUGUGGAGGUGGCUGAUCAAUCCAGCCUGACUCUGACGAGGAAAGAGCCCUGUGUCACAGCAUUUCUUAGGGACCAGCAAGGUCCCUAAGAUAUAUAUACAUAUAUAUAUAUUUGUUGUUGUUGUUUGUUUUCUUGAAAGUCAGCUCAGCAGGGAGAGCACUGUGGUUCUUUCACACCAGUUGUAACCCAAAGCUAUUCUCUAAACAGCUUAUUCAGAGUUUUAUAGAGCACAUAUACUCAGAAGAACGGUUGUGGAAAACUGCAGAACAGAAUAAUUCAGAAUCCCUUCACACAGUCCCUGUGUAGUUUGUACAGCCCCGAACAAUAUUACACUGUGAGCUCUCUGAAUAUUACUUAUUGAUUAAAAGCAGAGACAUUUUUUAAGCUGGAUUUGAUAUCAGUUCAAGCUGUUUCCCAUUGCUCUCACUUUUGUACUUCCAGUAUCUGAGUUCUCUCUAAAUUUGCAUUCCAUCAUUUAAAGAUAUCUGCAAUCUCCAAUGUGUGACAUAAUCUUUCUAAGAAAAAAGGGACUACCUCUGUUAUUCUUGUUCUAUAUUUGAUCGAGUAUUUAGAAAACAUUGUAAAUCCACUCUAUAGUUUUCUAUCUCUGUAUGUUACCUUUUUAGAAAACCUCCAUAUCAAAACACUGUACAUACUUCAGGCAUCCAGGGACCGAAUCUUCAGGCCUGUAAUCUUAGCUCUACGCUAGGUAAUUAAGUGGUUAGGUACUGGUUAGAUCCAAAGGCUACGCAGCAGAAUACUUCUCUAGUCACUACCUCUCCUAUAUUUAUGUGAGUGCAUGUAUUCCAAACCUUUUAAUUUACAUUAGGCCCACCAUCUCAUAACCGCCGUGCGCUUGGCUGCAAGCACGUUCCAAGGACCAGAGAAGGAUCUCGAGUUACACACAGGCAGCUUCUUGCCUACCUCAGAUUCAAGCUAAGACUUUAUUUCCUUUUCCCAUGUUACCAUAAAUUAUUCUUUAUGUAAAAUGACUUAUCAGCAUGCUCCUCAGUGCUUCUGAGACAUGAUUCAUCCCAGCAGUGUGUGAAGGAAUUUUCUUAUCUACCUUCUUGCCACUUGAGCUCUUGGAUUUCUCCUCCAUGUGACAAGCUCUAAUAGUAGUGCUGUUGUGAUACACAGGCAGAGAAUCAGCAUUGGCAUUUUACUUCCUUGCCCUUCAAACAACUUGGAAACAGCACUGAAUCCUUGAGUUACAUUUUAAUUUGACGUAGUGAAGCCCAAAGCUAGAACUGCAGCCCCUUGAACAUUACAUGAGGCACACCAUAUCCCACAAAAGGCGAUGGAGUGCAAAGGCAUAAAUCCCAGCUCUUUAAUCCUCAUUUUAUGUCUAACCUGUGACAUUUCUGAAAGCUGAGUUUUCAGAGAGAGAAUGGACAUUAGCUGUACUGUGUUUUUAAGUCUGGGAAGCAUAAUCCUCCCUGUCAGAGCAGGAGCUUCAAGCAUGCUUGUGCUUAUCCCCCCUGCUCACCCUGAAUUAGUCAGUGCUGUGUGUCAGGCUGACUGAAGGACAGGCAAUCUGAUAGGGAUCGGCAUCCCCUAGAAUGCCUGCAGGGAAGCUGGGUUUGUGUUCAAACAAACUGGCAUACAAAUAAGACUUCCUUUUGUGUGUGUGUAUGCUUUGAAAAAGAGUGAAUUGUUGGGAAUGCCAUUUCCAGGAGAAACACUGGGCAUCUUUGGCAUUCAGCUUCCUCUGUGCUGCCUAAAUAAAAUAAGGAGGACAGAAAGCAUUCACAUCAACUUGUCUGAACACUAUCUUGGUCUCUCCAUGUGCUAUAAGGUGCAUUGGCUACAGAGAGAACGGAGCUGAGGCACGAAACCUGCUGUUUCUGUAACACAGAACUGACACGUGGCUCUUUUUGGGGUCAGUAUACACCAGUGUAACCUACAGCAGUUUGAGGCAGUGGUAAUUACAACAGAAGUGGGGAACAGUUAUUGACACAUAUGAUGAGUAAUGAGUACAAAACACCAUAUAAAUUGAGUCCAAGGGGAAUUGCUUUAAAAUCAUUGAACUUAAAUAAAUGGGAACAGAGAAAGGAAGUGUUGCUGGCUGGCAAAAAGAAUGGCCAAAUGCAGUGGAAGCUUUAUCUUCACAUUGGUUGUGUCAACAUGCUCCAGUGGUGAGCUAUGAGUUGUCCUUGAGAAAAUAAUGCGUGCCUAUACAAAACAACAUCAAAAAGGGCAAUUUAAAUCAAGGCAACUGCCAGACAAUUGAAACAGCUUGUUUAAAGGAUAUUUUACAAGGCUGAUUUGGAACUUGCAGCCUGAUUAUUGUUGGAAGGAGGAUGUGAUUUGUAACCACAAAUCUGGUUAUCUUUAAAGAGCUGCAUGAGGUGCUAGCUUUUUUCACAGGUUACAUCACCUAAUGGCAGCCAUUUCCUGGCAAUAUGUCAAUAUUAUACAAGAGUUUUUGAAAGCACUCUAAAAACAUUUGAUUUGGCUCCAUCCCUUCUGGUGUUGGGGUGAAACAGCUGUGUGUCAGAUGCACUGGAUCGGAGAGUUGGGCCCAUGAACUCUCGUCCUGCCGACCGAGGCACUCAAGCAUUUGUCGCCACAGUGGCGUGCCUGACUUUAGUGGUUUCCGUUCUCCAUCAGUCCAUCCAAAUGUGAGCAGUGCUUGUUCGUCAUUACCAUGGCUUGCAAGAGCAAGAAGAUACAGAAAAUGUGCAGUUGCCUGCCACCAGCAUUGAUUGCUCCUGGCUUGUACCAGGAAUAGCGUAGCCAGCAGGAGCAGGGAGGUGAUCAUCCCCCUGUGUUCUGCUCUGGUGAGACCACACCUCGAGUGCUGUGUUCAGUUUUGGGCCCUGCUCUACCAGAAGGACAUUGAGGCCCUGGAGUAUGUCUAGUGAAGGGCUACGAAGCUGGUGAAGGGCCUGGAGCACAAGUCCUGUGAGGAGCAGCUGAGGAAAUGGGGGUUGUUUAGGCUGAAGAGGAGGCUCAGGGGCGACCUUAUUGCACUCUACAACCACCUGAAAGGAAGCUGUGGGGAGCUGGGGGUCGGCCUCUUCUCACAUGUAACUAGUGAUAGGACAAGAGGGAAUGGCCUCAAGUGGCACCAGGAGAGGUUCAGGUUGGGAAUGAAGAGACAUUUCUGUCAGAAAGAGCAGUCAGGCACUGGGACGGGUUGCCCAGGGAGGUGGUGGCAUCACCAUCCCUGGGGGUGUUCAAGGAGAGGUUGGACGUGGUGCUUGGGGACAUGGUUUAGCGGGUGACACUGGUGGUAGAGGUGCGGUUGGACCAGACGGUCCUGGCGGUCCUUCCCACCCUUCCCACUCCGACACGCCUUGAGGCGCGGGGCUCUCUCCGCCAUUCCCCGCGCCGCCACGUCGCACCGGGGCCACCGUCCCCGCAGCGUGGCCGCCCCUCGGCUGCUCCUCCCCCGCCGCUGGUGGGAGCAUUGUGGGGGAAAGGGGCCGGCAGCAUCCACGUCUGCGAGGAGGAGGAGGAGGAGGAGGAGGAGGAGAAGGCGGAGGAGGAAGAGCGGAGCCUUCCCCUGGCGGCCGUGUGCGCGCUGUGCCUCGCUUCCCC